GCCUCCGUAGUUCAAUGGAUAGAACGAUGGUUUCCUAAACUGUAAAUCCGUGUUCGAUUCACGGCGGGGGCA
rnacentral:tRNA from 1 species